AAUCGCAAGGCCACCAGAUGGGGUCACUUGGGGGCUGAGGCCAAAAGACUCAAGAAUUGAGAAAAACGAGCAGUCUGGGCCUUCAGCGACAGCCCAGGAUACCAAGGGAAAGUCUUUCACCUCCCACUUACCAGCUGAGUGACUCUGGGUAAGUCACUGAAUGGCUGCCUGCCUCAGUUUUCCUCAUCUAAAACGGGGAUCCUAGGAGCACCUACUUCCCAGUGUUGUGGGGAUGAUCACAUAAAGAGCUUUGCACACCACGAGGUGCGACACAACCCCCACCCCACCCCACACCUUGUUCCCCAGCACAAAGUCCAUACCUGUCCAGAGACUGAAGCUUUGGACAGCAGCCCAGGAAAAGGCAGUCCCCAGCAAGGUCCCGUUCUCCCCAUCCCCAGCUCUGGGUUCCAUCGGGCCAAGGAGAGGUGGCCAGGGUCUCGGACAGGGAACACGGGGGAACGGCAGCACAAAGGAGGAGGAGAGGGGAGAAGCAGAGAAUAGAAGGGGGCCAAGGAUGGCAGCCAGAGAAAGAGCAAAGCAGAGCUUUAGGCCGAGAGUGGAGCAAAGCAGAGGCUGAGGGUCAGCGGCGCGAGGCUGGUGCUGUGACCUAGCUUUGCAUCCUAAGAAGCCUCUGUCCCCCGAGUGGUGCCAGUGACAGGCUGGCAGGAGCUUGGGAUCGAUGCCAGAAGCCUCAGCGAGCUGGCAAAUACAACUGAGCAGCCAGGGUGGCACCCAUUCCCUGCCUGAGAUGUCUGCUCCAGAGAGAAGCCUAGACACAGCAGACAGGGAUGAGCAGAAGGGCAGAAUGGUGAUGUUUGUGGGUGUAGACUCUUCUUACUGCCAAGGAAACCUCAAUUGGGUACCUGUCUCUAACCCCGGAUACUGGCAGAUCCCUCUGGACAGGUAAUACCAUCUGGUCCAAUCUGCCUCCUAGGCAAUCUUCGCUCUGGGCCUGGGAAGCUGGACAUUGAUGCAAGGACUUGGGGGAUGAUGUCAGGAGUAUACUGAGCAGGAGAAUAGAAGGACCAACUGAGUCUAGGAGAGGUGAUGACCAUUUUAGGAGAGAGGGGAAAGGGGGGAGGAGGAUACUGCAGUAACAUUGAAACCCCAACUUCUGAGAAGGAGAGUGAAGCAGAACAGAGCAUUACAUAGUGGAGAUGCAGGAGCUGAAGCAUUAGCUGGAGAGGAGACGUUAGAGGAGACUCCGUCCUGCUCAGGACAAGGUCAUAGAAUAGGAGCCCGGUGUGGGGCAAUGGAGGAUUCCCAAGCUAGGAAGAGCUGAGGCCUAUGUAGAAG
rnacentral:lncRNA from 1 species